CCAGAUUUGUGAACUGUGUAUUUUCCUUGUCCUCUACCUUUGCUCCAAAAAUAAGUUCUACAUGACUUUUAUUAAGAUGGAGCAUGCAUCAGUUUUAUCAGCAGCGUCCCUGAUCCCUCAUUGGCAGAUCUCAGAGACUCCCAGGGCAGGCAAAAUCUGGGAGUUACCCUCUCCCACCCUCAGUGUUCAGAACAGCCAGGCAGAUAGGGCAAGGUUUGCCGUCAGCUCCUGACAUCUUUCCUGUGCUCACUGUGUACCUCCAAGUCUCAGCCUAUAUUGCACCUGCUCAUAGACAGGUCUUGCCUGGGUGAGUUCAAACUUUCCCUCUACCUGCCUUAGCCUCUCAAGUGUUAGGAUUACAGGCAUGUGCCACUGCACACAAGCUUACAAGAUGUUAUAGAAAGUAGUGCUAAACUGGGUGUGGUGGAGCACUCCUGUAAGCCCAGCACUCUGGAGGUUGAGGCAAGGUUGGGACCAGCCUGGGUUACAGAGUGAGCACAAGACAAGCCUGAACCACAGAGCAAGACCCUGUCUCAAAAAGACAAGAAAAAAAGUAGUGAUACCAUCAAAUGCUCCAAGCCAAUCCCAGCACCUAAGUGAUUGAUUCCAAGUGUUUGUUACAAUAUCUUGUUAUCUUUCCAACAGACAUUUGCAUUUCAAAUGAAGAGUUUGGUUCCUCAUUUCUAAUCUGUAAUUGGUACAAUAUAGCAGUUCUCAUCCCGUUGACAUAACUUUACCUCCUCACUAUAAACACAUGUACACACACACACACACACACACACACACACUCUUACACACAUACUUCUAGGCAAUUCCCCUGAUUUAUUGAAGAAACUGUUUCCUAACAAUCUGGAGUUGUUUGUUUGUUUAUGGCCACUUAGUAAAUAUUGUAAUAGUAAAAUAUUGUUUCAAAACUCCAAGUUUGGCCAAACAGGGAAAAAAGUCCCUAUUGAGAAUGGAGAUUCAACUAUAGUGUCUAAAUUUUAAUUUUUCUUGGAGUAUAUUUUGGUGCAUUACUCUGUCACUGCCACACUGGUUUCAGGGAAGCUUGUUCUCCUUACUGAGUUCCCAAAGUACAACAACUCUUCCAAAUUCCAGAGAAUAAUGGCCCUAGAGGCUGCACAGAGGAGAAGUAGAGGUCAUGGUUGCACCACGGCCUCUGCGUGCCCUUGAGUGUGAGCCUUGGCCCCUGAAUCACCAGUUGGCCUCUCUCCCUUCUAAAAGGCCUAGUAAAACCAGCACACAUGAGAACACUAAAUGCUCAGUCACAAAGCCAACUGUGAAACUGUAAGUGAAAGCAUGAAAAUGGACUGGUUUUGCUGUUACGAUGUGAGUUUUUAAAAUGUCCUUUGGUUCCUAGCAAAGAAUAUCCAGAGGUCUGCUUGCCUUUUAAAAUUUAUGUUUUCAAGUCAGGUGAGGUGAUGCAUGCCUGUAAUCCCACCACCUGGGAGGCUGAGCAGGAGGAUCAUUGCAAGUUUGAGACCAGCCUGUGCUACAAAGUCAGUUCAAGGCCAGCCUGAACUGCAUAGUGAGACUGUUUCGAAAAGACAAAUACACAAAUACAUACAUAAAAUCUACAUUCCCACCAGAAGUGACAGUACACACUUGUAAUCACAGCACUCUGGGGCGGUGGGGUAGGAGGAUCCUAAAUUUGAACCCAGCCUUAAUGAUUUAGCUACCUAGCAAAAUGUUGUCUCAAAAUAAGAAAUAAACAAAUGUAGUGGGGAUGUAGUUUCAUGCAAAGACCCUAGGUUCAAUCUUCUGUACUGCAAAAAAUAAAAUAGAAUUUAUGUUCCCUAUGUUAAAACUGCAAAUCAGAAGACUAGUUUUCCCUUCAGUUUUUAUGUUUAUGAAAAACUAAAUUUACACAAAAAUUCUAAUAUUCGCUUUAGAGGAUUGUAUUGAUGACUAUUUAGAAAUAGUUAAUGAAACUCUUUAAACAUUAGCAUAUUCAUGACGGGGCUGUAAUUUGUUGUCUUGCUGGUGGGUGGCUCUGAACCACUAGUGGUCCAAGCAUGCCUGUUCUACCUGUCCCAUCAAUGGAACCGUCAUGCAUGUAUCAUCAGUGCCUCAAGUUAGCAGGAACAUGUUUAAGAAAUUAUAAAUUUAGUGUAUUCUAUGUCUCUUAAAGAAAUUCAGUCGUUUGAGCUGAUGAACAAAACAUUCCUGAAUAUCUAAAACACAAAUUUUGGGGGCUGGGGAUUUAGCUCAGCGGCAUAAGUGCCUGCCUUGCAAACAGGCAGUCGUGAGUUCCAUCCCCAGUACCGAUAAAAAGGAAAAAGACCAAAAAACAAAAAACAAAACACCCCACGAAUCUAACAAUUUAUAAAUAGGGUGAUCUAAUUUUCAUAUUUUCUUAACUAUUCCAAUCCCCAUUUCAAAUCACACACAUUUUAAAUUAGAAUUACAAGUCUAAUUUGUUACUGUAGUGGAUUGUUCUCUGUCUCUGUCUCUUUCUUUCUCUUCCAGGAGCUAGAGAUUGAAGGGCCUCCCUUAUACUAGACAAGUACUCUACCAUUGAGCUACAGUCCCAGCCCUAAAAUGUUUUUACCAUCAUAAGUACAUAAAGUACCAAACAUCGCUAUGUAUGCUGAUGGCUGCCUGGAAUCCUAUGGGAGGCUAAAGCAAGAGGAUUGCAGAUUCAAGCCCAACCUGGGCAAUUUGUGUCUUCCCCUAUCAUAAACACCAAAGUAGGCAACGUGGUGGCAGUGAUGGGCAGCGCACAGUGUGCAAGGCUGCGCGGUGCUGCGCGGGAGGCUGAAGUGGGAGUGGAAUGGCGUGGGCAUGAGCUCGUGUCCUAGAAAGCUGGAGCGAGGCCUGGGAAUGGGAAUUUCUGGAUUCCAUGCUUUCCUCUGCCGCUUCACACGGCAACAGACCCCUUUCUUUAUUCUGAAGUCUGCAACCAUAGAUGCUGCGGGAAAAAUCUUUCUGAAAAUUGGAAAGAGAAGUGCAAUGAAGGAGCAGGAACGGUUGAAGAAAGGAGAGGAGGUGCCUUCUUGUUGAAUGUGUGUGCAUAUGUGUCUGUGUGAGCCUGUGCACACACAGGAGUGUGGAAGUGUAUUAUGUGUCUCUUUUCUUGGUAUGUAUGUGUGUAUGUGUACAACUUGUGUACACUAAGUCUCCAGCUUACCAACAUUCAAGCUGCAAACUUAAACAGGUGUACUAUGUAAGGCUCACUUCUUCAGACUUAGGAAUGAAUCCAACUUAUGAACAUUCUCCAGAACAGAACUUGCUCAUAAUUCGGGGAUUUACUGUAUGCAUUUCUGUCUGUAAAUAUCAAGGUAAGUACUGAAAUGAAGAGGAAGCAAACUUACAUGGCAUCUUGACAGAGGGAUUUGAUGUUUUUUUUUUUUUUUUGUCUUUUUCAUUUUUAUCGGUACCAAGGAUCGAACUCACGAAACCUUGCUUGCAAGGCAGGUGCUUAUGCCGCUGAGCUAAAUCCCCAGCCCCUGUAAGUUUUGUUUUGUUUUUUGUCUUUUGGGAUUUGAUGUUAACUGAGUCUAGUAGCAAGAAAUUUUGGCUUGUAUUUUCUUUAUCUGUGUGUUCCAUUCAUUUCUUAGAAUUCAUUUAACAUAUUUUACAAAAGCGUCGAUCUAAGCAGAUUGCAUAUGAACCUGCUCCUUCACUGCUGCUAGGACAGCACUGAUCAAGAUUCUUCACAGGUCCUGAUUCUGAAAUUCCCAGGGGAGGAAAGUUCACCUCAGAAGGCUGAGGCUGAGGUCCUGAGUCACAUCAGAGAAGCAUCAUCUCAAGUACUUAGCACAAAUAAGGGCUCAGGCCUCAAGAGUGUGAUUGCUGUCCUGGGGCUCUCAAUCUGUUCUCCUUUUCCCCUUCACGAGAGAUGUAUCGGGCAGCAGGAUUUGAGGCAAGUCUCCGGGACCUCAGCAGCUCAGGGUGCAGUUUUUCCUCUUGCCACAGAGCAGGCGAGGCUGAUGUCUUCCAGAGGCAGGAAGCUGUUUCAGGGUCCUGGAACAGCACUGUAGACUUCCAUACUUCCCUCCAAACAAUAAUGUACAGUGAUGGUUAAUUGAGAUAUGUCAACUUCACUUAAGUAAGAACAGCCUAGCAGAUUAGUAAAGAGCUGAAUGUGUCUGUAGAUGACUGACCCGGAGGUCAGGAAACUGAGUGGGGAGGACCCGCUCCAGCUGUGGAAGCAUCAACCAAUAGGCUUGCAGCCUGGACUGAAUAAAAAGGAAAGGAGGAAAUAUCCCUGCUCUUUGCUGUUGCCUUUGGACAUUGGUUUCUGCCUUACUCCGCUUUCCAGCAUAGAUUCUUCCACCUUCUAGGGCCGACUCUUUAGCCUUCUGACACCGAUUUCACACUGACUACAGUGAACUUCCGGGCCUUCAACCUUCAACUGCUGCUGGAGCGUCCAGUCACCAGUGGGCAGGCACCAUUCUGGAUUUUUCUACCCCCGAUCCCAUAGGUGACUAUGUGACUCUUCUGUUUUUGAUCCUGUAAGCCUGCCUAAUAAAUCCCUUUGUAUACUUAGA